rnacentral:rRNA from 1 species
CUACGGGCGGCUGCAGUGAGGAAUUUUGCGCAAUGGGGGGAACCCUGACGCAGCAACGCCGCGUGAGUGAAGAAGGCCUUUGGGUCGUAAAGCUCUGUCAACAAGGAAGAAGUUAGCAUUGAUGAACAGUUGAUGCUAUUGACGGUACUUGUGGAGGAAGCGCCGGCUAACUCCGUGCCAGCAGCCGCGGUAACACGGGGGGCGCAAGCGUUAUUCGGAAUUAUUGGGCGUAAAGGGCGCGUAGGCGGCCUUAUCAGUCAGAUGUGAAAGCCCGGGGCUCAACCCCGGACGUGCAUUUGAAACAGUAAGGCUUGAGUACGGGAGAGGAAAGCGGAAUUCCUGGUGUAGAGGUGAAAUUCGUAGAUAUCAGGAGGAACACCGAUGGCGAAGGCAGCUUUCUGGACCGAUACUGACGCUGAGGCGCGAAGGCGUGGGUAGCGAACAGGAUUAGAUACCCUUGUAGUC